rnacentral:lncRNA from 1 species
UUGCGAGAUGCUUCAUGAACCACCAAAACACAAAACGCGAGCUUGUUGAACUUGUGUCUCUGUAAGAAUAAUCUACGCGUUGAGCAUUUACCACUUGCCUCAUACCUAGCCCGAGACGACCUACCACAAAGGAUCGAAUUAGUCACUCUGGUCGAACUUGGAGUCAGAAUGGACUUUGUUUUAGGCUGGAGGAAACUUUUUUCAUUUCUUCCAGUCUUAUUGGCUGCCGUUGGCGUUUGUGGUGACACGUGCAAAGUCACCCAUCAGGGCAAAGCAACGACGUACAACAUCUCAAACCCUAAGAGCAAUCCAACGUGUGAUUACAGCUGGGCUGAUUCUAAUCUGUUGGUACUGGCAACUGAUGCCGAACCCGAAGGAAAAGGAAUUAUAUCCUCAUCUCACUCCUCUCUCACUUUGCUUGGAUGCUGGAAGAAUGUUUGUGUUACAAUUUAUUGCCAUCUGAAGCACCACACAACCUGCUGCUACACUAACUGCCCUGCUGCACCAGAACCUCCAGCUGACUUCACUGCUGCACCAGAACCUCCAGUUGGUGCAUUUGGUGACACGUGCACAGUCACCCAUCAGGGCAAAGCAACGACGUACAACAUCUCAAACCCUAAGAGCAAUCCAACGUGUGAAUACAGCUGGGCUGAUUCUAAUCUAUUGGUACUGGCAACUGAUGCCGAACCCGAAGGAAAAGGAAUUAUAUCCUCAUCUCACUCCUCUCUCACUUUGCUUGGAUGCUGGAAGAAUGCUUGUGUUACAAUUUAUUGCCAUCUGAAGCCCCACACAACCUGCUGCUACACUAACUGCACUGAUGCACCAGAACCUCAAGGUAGGGAUGCAUUACUUUCACUAACUCCACAAAUGGCAACAUGCAAACCUAUGUCUUCCGUCUUAGUUAUCUGGUAG